rnacentral:rRNA from 1 species
UACGUAGGGUGCGAGCGUUGUCCGGAAUUAUUGGGCGUAAAGAGCUUGUAGGCGGUCUGUCGCGUCUGCUGUGAAAAUCCGGGGCUCAACCCCGGACUUGCAGUGGGUACGGGCAGACUAGAGUGUGGUAGGGGAGACUGGAAUUCCUGGUGUAGCGGUGAAAUGCGCAGAUAUCAGGAGGAACACCGAUGGCGAAGGCGGAUCUCUGGGCCAUUACUGACGCUGAGGAGCGAAAGCGUGGGGAGCGAACAGG